rnacentral:lncRNA from 1 species
GGUAACUACUUAACUGUUGGGUGACUGUUGCAGGAAUGGUGGAUGAUGUUGGACGUUGUUUCUACAAACUGCUCCCUUUCAGGUUGAUGUGCUCCUAAUGUGCUGUCCUGCAGUGAUAGAUUUACAAAUCUCACUGCAUGGAUAAAUCUUGCACAAAUUAUCCUUAUUACUGUGUAAGAGGAGAUUCAGAAGCGCCAUACAUCAUCUCAACGUGCUGUUUAUACAAAUGAAAGUCUCCUUUGGGAANAGGAAUAUUUGUCAGCAGCUCAGACCCAGACCUAGGUAUAUGAGGAAGUGUUCCAGGCCAGGAGGAGCCAUCUCUGUGAUGUGCAGUUUGGUGUGCUUGCAGAUCUUGCUGUUAUCGGGGAGAGAACCUUUGUUCAGCAGACCUGUACUUGGUUCAGGCAAAUCCAACCGAAGAUUUCAGCUGCACUGUUGCCUUGCCUCCCUGAGUUUGCAGUUCCAUCCACACUGCUAUGGUAUACAAUAAUAAAUAAAAAUAGAUAGGUGGGUUACUUCUCUAGCUUACAGGAGCCUUCUUC